CCAAUAGCGUAUAUUAAAGUUGUUGUGGUUAAAAAGCUCGUAGUUGAACCUUGGGCCUGGCUGGCCGGUCCGCCUCACCGCGUGUACUGGUCCGGCCGGGCCUUUCCCUCUGUGGAACCUCAUGCCCUUCACUGGGUGUGACGGGGAAGCAGGACUUUUACUGUGAAAAAAUUAGAGUGCUCCAAGCAGGCCUAUGCUCGAAUACAUUAGCAUGGAAUAAUAAAAUAGGACAUGCGGUUCUAUUUUGUUGGUUUCUAGGACCGCCGUAAUGAUUAAUAGGGACAGUCGGGGGCAUCAGUAUUCAAUUGUCAGAGGUGAAAUUCUUGGAUUUAUUGAAGACUAACUACUGCGAAAGCAUUUGCCAAGGAUGUUUUCAUUAAUCAGGAACGAAAGUUAGGGGAUCGAAGACGAUCAGAUACCGUCGUAGUCUUAACCAUAAACUAUGCCGACUAGCGAUUAGCCUGAGUUCCUUAAAUGACUCGGCUAGCAGCUUCCG
rnacentral:misc_RNA from 1 species